GAUGAACGCUGGCGGCGUGCCUAAUACAUGCAAGUCGAGCGAACAGACGAGGAGCUUGCUCCUCUGACGUUAGCGGCGGACGGGUGAGUAACACGUGGAUAACCUACCUAUAAGACUGGGAUAACUUCGGGAAACCGGAGCUAAUACCGGAUAAUAUAUUGAACCGCAUGGUUCAAUAGUGAAAGACGGUUUUGCUGUCACUUAUAGAUGGAUCCGUGCCGCAUUAGCUAGUUGGUAAGGUAACGGCUUACCAAGGCAACGAUGCGUAGCCGACCUGAGAGGGUGAGAGGCCACAGUGGACCUAGACAACGGCCCAGACUCCGAGGGGGGGCGGCAGUGGGGAAUUUUCCGAAAGGGGCGAAAGUUGGACGGAGCACCGCCGCGUGAGUGAUAAAGGUCUUCGGAUCGUAAAACUGUGUUAUUAGGAAAGAACAAAUUUGUAAGUAACUAUGCACGUCUUGACGGUACCUAAUCAGAAAGCCACGGCUAACUACGUG
rnacentral:rRNA from 1 species